AGAACUUAGCAGAGAUGCUUUUGGUGCCCUUUCGGGGAACUCUGAGACAGGUGCUGCAUGGCUGUCGUCAGCUCGUGUUGUGAAAUGUUGGGUUAAGUCCCGCAACGAGCGCAACCCUUAUCCUUUGUUGCCAGCGGUCCGGCCGGGAACUCAAAGGAGACUGCCAGUGAUAAACUGGAGGAAGGUGGGGAUGACGUCAAGUCAUCAUGGCCCUUACGAGUAGGGCUACACACGUGCUACAAUGGCGCAUACAAAGAGAAGCGACCUCGCGAGAGCAAGCGGACCUCAUAAAGUGCGUCGUAGUCCGGAUUGGAGUCUGCAACUCGACUCCAUGAAGUCGGAAUCGCUAGUAAUCGUGGAUCAGAAUGCCACGGUGAAUACGUUCCCGGGCCUUGUACACACCGCCCGUCACACCAUGGGAGUGGGUUGCAAAAGAAGUAGGUAGCUUAACCUUCGGGAGGGCGCUUACCACUUUGUGAUUCAUGACUGGGGUGAAGUCGUAACAAGGUAAGCGUAGUGCU
rnacentral:rRNA from 1 species